AAUAACUCAGCCCUUCACGAUUGGGCUGCGAGUUAUUCUUGCUGUUGUCUCAUCUUAGAUAUCGUUCUGCUUGAAGGAUGAGAUCAGUCAGAAUAACUCGCAGCUCAAUUGAUAAGCAACAAGAUUUUUU
rnacentral:precursor_RNA from 15 species